rnacentral:ncRNA from 2 species
GUCCAUCACUGCCAUUCAGGUGUCCCACCGGGAAGAAUCGGGAACGCGGUGUAAUUCCGCGACGCGCCCAGCGCUGUAAGGGGGACUGCUCCGGCAACACGCCACUGACUUCGGUUGGGAAGGCGUCGGAGCGGAUCGAACCCAAGUCAGAAGACCGGCCUGAACGGUUUAUAUCCA